rnacentral:rRNA from 1 species
UUAGUUUGCUUGCAAACCAAAGCUGGCGAGCGGCGCACGGGUGAGUAACACGUAUCCAACCUACCUCAUACUCGGGGAUAGCCUUUCGAAAGAAAGAUUAAUAUCCGAUAGCAUAUAUUUCCCGCAUGGGUUUUAUAUUAAAGAAAUUCGGUAUGAGAUGGGGAUGCGUUCCAUUAGUUUGUUGGGGGGGUAACGGCCCACCAAGACUACGAUGGAUAGGGGUUCUGAGAGGAAGGUCCCCCACAUUGGAACUGAGACACGGUCCAAACUCCUACGGGAGGCAGCAGUGAGGAAUAUUGGUCAAUGGACGCGAGUCUGAACCAGCCAAGUAGCGUGAAGGAUGACUGCCCUAUGGGUUGUAAACUUCUUUUAUAUGGGAAUAAAGUGGUCCACGUGUGGACUUUUGUAUGUACCAUAUGAAUAAGGAUCGGCUAACUCCGUGCCAGCAGCCGCGGUAAUACGGAGGAUCCGAGCGUUAUCCGGAUUUAUUGGGUUUAAAGGGAGCGUAGGCGGAUUGUUAAGUCAGUUGUGAAAGUUUGCGGCUCAACCGUAAAAUUGCAGUUGAUACUGGCAGUCUUGAGUGCAGUAGAGGUGGGCGGAAUUCGUGGUGUAGCGGUGAAAUGCUUAGAUAUCACGAAGAACUCCGAUUGCGAAGGCAGCUCACUGGAGUGUAACUGACGCUGAUG